CCUACGGGAGGCUGCAGUGGGGAAUAGUGGACAAUGGGGGGAACCCUGAUCCAGCCAUGCCGCGUGUGUGAAGAAGGCCCUCGGGUUGUAAAGCACUUUCAGUGAGGAAGAACGCCUGGUGGUUAAUACCCAUCAGGAAAGACAUCACUCACAGAAGAAGCACCGGCUAACUCCGUGCCAGCAGCCGCGGUAAUACGGAGGGUGCGAGCGUUAAUCGGAAUUACUGGGCGUAAAGCGCGCGUAGGUGGCUUGAUAAGCCGGUUGUGAAAGCCCCGGGCUCAACCUGGGAACGGCAUCCGGAACUGUCAAGCUAGAGUGCAGGAGAGGAAGGUAGAAUUCCCGGUGUAGCGGUGAAAUGCGUAGAGAUCGGGAGGAAUACCAGUGGCGAAGGCGGCCUUCUGGACUGACACUGACACUGAGGUGCGAAAGCGUGGGUAGCAAACAGGAUUAGAUACCCGAGUAGUC
rnacentral:rRNA from 1 species